CAGAGUUGCAAAACUCCCAACCCUUUGUGAACGAACCUACCAGUUGCCUCGGCGGCGAGCCUUUCAGGAGGCGGACCGCCGGAGGAAUACAAACUCUUUGCAUUAAUGUAUCUCUGAUUACUUAUUCAAUAAGUUA
rnacentral:misc_RNA from 1 species